rnacentral:lncRNA from 1 species
UUAAAUUAUUUCUUCAAUGAUUGUAAAAAUGAGUCUAAAUCAUUAAACAUCACAUCAUGUAAUUUACAAAAUAUGAUUCAAGUUACUAGUAUCACCGUAAAAAUUUCUAGCUAGAUGUGCUCCCUUUUGUUUGCUGAAAAGUAAAAGGAAGCAUACUUUUUAAACCAGAUGAAGAUCGUGACCGUCAUGUCUAACAGCAACAACACUAUUAAUGAUACGAUCCCUAUUUGGCCACUUGACUUUCUCCGUUUUCAUAACUUAACUUUCUUAACUUAACUUUAGAUUUCGUCUUUUUCCUCUGGUUCAAUCCACACUACAUUUUCUUGGUUUUUUUUUUUCCGAGUUAAAAUUAUAGAACACAAUCGAAUGAAAUCCUCAUCUCCAUUACUUAAUUUUCUCGGUUAUAUAGUAUAAUUUAACCUAGCUACGUACCUAAUUAAUAAAGGACUGUCAGAUAACAUAUGUUGAAUUAUGGUACGUCGUAAGUACUUCUGUUUUGAUCUUUAUUUUGCUUUUGUGUUGGAACUUGAAAGUGUUUGGAAUUUUUGAAUUCAUGGUGAAUGUGUCUUUUCAACAAAUAAUUAAGAUGCACGAUCGCGUCUUUCCCAUAUUCACUACCGUUGUAAAAUUUAAAGAUCUUUAAAAUCACACAAAGAUGUUCUUAGAAUAAUUAAAAACGCUUAUAUAUGUACAUAAAUUGAUUUUGACUAAAGAAGAUAUUUAAUGAAAUUAUUUGUAUAGAACAUCUCUCACAUCAAAUAAAACUAACAUGAAAUCAUACGAGACUACUGAAAUGAAAUGGUAGAAUGAUGGGAUAUGGGGGGACCACGCUCAACUUUUUAUUCUUUUUAUUGAGCGUAACAUAUCAAAAUGUUGAAAAAAAAAUGUAACUAAGCUUAUAUGUAGUGUAUGUAUUGGUUGGUGCUACACCUAUUUAAAAUUUCAAACACAUGUACACUAGGGUGCGUUUGGUACGUGGGACGGGACGGGACGGAACGGGACGAGGCUUUCCGUCCCGCGUUUGGUGCGCCAAAAAUGGGUGGAACGGGCUGUUCCACGGGACAGAUUUUGGGUGUUUUUGCGUCCCACCUCCACCCCCUGGAACGGGUUUGUUUCACGUCUGUGGAACACAAUGUUUUACCAUUUUAAGACAAAUAUACCCCAUGCCUUUUUCAAAAAUUACACCUUCGUUCCGUCCCGUCCCGUCCCGUUCCGUCCCGUCCCGUCCCGUUCCGUCCCGUCUGCGUACCAAACGCACCCUAAGGUACCGUUUGGUACGCAGACGGGAUGGAACGGGACGGGACGGAACAGGACGGAACAAAUGACGUAAAUAUUGAAAAAGAUAAGGAGAAAUUUUGUCAUAAAAUGUUAUAAAUUUGUGUUCCACGGAUGUGGAACAAGUCGUUCCAGGAGGAAGAGGUGGAACAAAAAAUCAGCCAAAUUUCGUCUCAUGGGACAACCCGUUCCACAGUUUUUAGGCGCACCAAACGUGGGACGGAACGACUCGUCCCAUUCCGUCCCGUCCCGUCCCACGUACCAAACGGUACCUAAGUCCACUUCUCUGUCCCUGACGACAUAUACUUUUAUACU